GGGAAACUGGGCUGAAGCUGGGAGAAGGAAGGCAGAGUCAGGGAGACACCAUGGAGCCGCACCCAGAGUCAGACAUGCUGAAACUUUGCUGGCUGCUGAACCACUUGGCUGCAAUGUGACACCUUCCCAGUUCCUCUCUUCGGGCUAGACCUAUUUUCUUUCAGGUGGACCUUCCCUUCGGCAAGCCUACCUUACUACCCCUCUGGAACAAGCAUUUCUCCUGGGUACCCUGUCACACCAUCUCUCUCCAGAGAAGCUUAAUUUUCGCCUUCACUCAGCUCUGAAAGGAUGGUGGCAUGUCUAACUUGCUAGGAAGUCCUCGGUACAGGAAAGACAUUCGCUGACUGAACCACAGGGAACCAGGAUUUACCGUCUGCAGAUACUGAGAGGAGUGGGCAGGACCCGGCAUAAAGACACUCACCUGUCUCUAGUUGCUUUGGCAAGUUUGUCUUCU